rnacentral:rRNA from 1 species
AUGGCUUCAUCUGGUUCCAUGACCAGGCCACCGUGUGCUAACCAAGAAGACAUGCCGAACAAGUGGGAGGACGCCUCUUUGGACAAGGUGAAGGAGAAAGAUGUCAACAUCCCGCCAUGUUGGUGUGGAGAUGUUUGCAAGGUGAAGGUGUCCACCGACAGAAGGAAAGCAUGGACGGAAGGGCGGAGAUAUUUUGUAUGCCCGAACUAUGCUUAUGAUCGUGCACUUCCAACUAACGCCUAUGACCAACCACCGGUAAGCUCGAGAAGUAAAAUGUUACUCUCAAAUGUGUGUCAACACUAA